GCAUCGCGGAACGGCCGCCCCUGAGCGGUUCCCCUGUCUGGCCGCCGCAACGGCUCUCCUGCAGUCUCUGUUUUUUUUUUCUGGUCUUCCUUAAAUCAUUCCAUCUACGAGCCUGGCGGGGGAUGUGGAGAGAAGGAGGAGGACGGGGAAAGUGGCCGAUCAUGUGAGGAACACGUCAUACACAGCUCACUCUUUUUUUCCGCCAGUUUCCACUAAUUUGGCCAACUUUUCGGGGCCGCGGGUUUAUGCAGAGCCUGGGCGGAGGCGCUUUCCGCUGGAGGAGGGAGGAGAAAAGUCCCGGGGCGUCCCUUAUUCGCUCCGUUCUUCUGCAAGCUUUGCAGCCACGAGUUCAACAUUCGAAAAGAUUGCACGGCACAGUGUAAUGAAGUCCCGUAUAGUCUGGAUAUAUCAACUAAGAAUAAAAGCUGAAGAAGGUGAACUGUCUUUGGAGUAUCUUCACUGUAGUACUCUUUCUAGCUCAGGAAUGGCAACAGUUCUUUUCUUUUUCCGUGUUGUUGAGGGACUUUCCAUGAUCCGUGUCCAGGAGAAAAAGGUUCAUUUUUUUUUUUUUUGUGGAAAACUGAAGCAUGCCAUAGUAUGCAGUACAGACUGGUCUCUCCAUGCCUCUAUAUUUUCCCUUUCUCUGGAGGAAUAGUGCAGUCCUAAGGCACAAUUCUUUUCUUACGUAUCUCUAUGCGUAGUGGACUUUGUUUAAUGUGUAGACAUGUAUGAGGUGGUCCCUUCCCACUUGAUAAUCUGCCUUGGAAGUGCUACUUUGUGCUUGCUUAUUGAGAAAUCUUGUAAGAAGGCUACAAGAAUAUUUUCUGGACUGGUCUGUUUUGGCCUGUAACUCCCCAGCUUUUUGUACAGACCAUUUUCCAUCUCCAUUUGUAAGCUGCCAGGAAAGGACUGCUUGCAGUUGGUGCAGGUGUGGCUGCUGUGUGCUGUACAGCAGUUCCUGUUCUGUCAACCUGUGUGUGACUUGGUCUAGCGAUUGGUGACCCUGCACAUAGCAGGGGAGUUGAAACUAGGUGAUCAUUGUGGUCAACCUGGACCAUUCUGUGAUUCCAUGCUUCUAUGAUAGUUGGACUUGAUCUCAGAUGAUCAAUCUUAAUGAUUCAAUAACUUGGAGCAUAAGAGUAGUAUUGCUAACUUCGUUGUUGCUUUAGAGGAUUAUUUCCCACAUUCCGAAGUGCAACCGCUUUUCCAAGGCUGGAUUCUGAGCAGCUUGUUGGCUUUGCUGUGGUUCUUUGUGAGGACAAGUUCUCUAACUGUUUUUGCACACGUCCCUGCGCUGGUUCCCAUGUUUCUGUUGCUUGAUCUUAUCUUUUCUGCUCUCUCUCUUUUCUGCUGUCUCUAUCCUCUCUCCCCAUCCCCAGCCCCCCCUUCCUUUUUCUGUCUUCCCUGUCCUUGAUACCUCUGUGGUAUGCUGACUCAGAGUUCAACACAGAUGUUGAGUAAUUCCCUUUUGUUGUCUGAAGUUUAAAUGUAGUAGGACAGAUGUGAAUGCAGCCUGCUGCCCAGAGCUUAUUCCUUCCAUUCAAGUGGAUGAUAUGAAGCAUCACUAAACUUAGAGAAGUGUUUUGUAGAAGUGAUUUGGUUGUGGACUGGUACUAGCUGUGUGUCUGUAUGCAUCCACUCAUGGUAUCGUUUCUGUCCUUACUGCCAUUGAAAUUUUGGUAGGCACAUAUAAUCUUAUUCUUAUGUAGUGUUGGCUUUCAAGUAUGGUUUUAACAGGUAUUUAUGUCUGGUCUUCAGUAAGCCCGAAGGCUUUCAAUUUACUGGUGGGCACUUUGUUGUGCUUUGUCUGCAAGAUGGAUAUAUUUAUGUGAAAAAAAAUCUUGAGUUAGUCUUUCAUUUAUUCAAGCACAUGACAUUUCUGGGCUAUUUUGGUGUCCUGAAAUAGCAUGCCCUUUUUGUUUGUUUGGAAGACAUUCUCCAUUUCCAUUCUCACCUCUUUACAGUUCACCUGUGCUACCUUGUAAACAGAUGGAGAGAUACAGUAAGAAUGCUGCUGCAUACCAGCUCCCCUUACUACAUGCUGGGCUUUCCAGUAGGAAAUCGGUCAGGAUCUACUUCUGUAGCUGCUGUGUAACAUUGUGAAAGACAGUUAGCUCUUCAUGUGUGGGAAACAUGGCUAUGAGUGGGUAUGGGGCAAGAAUAGCUGGAAACAAAUCUGGAUCUGUUCAAGUAUGGUUUUUUUGUUUGCUGAUAAUGACUACUUUUUAUUGAAUAGUAGGUAAGCACUGUGAAUGGGAAAUUGUGUGCUUGGUUGGAAAAAAAAAAAAAAGGGAACCUCAUUAGGUGGCUAUUGUUGAUGUUACAGAUAAUGCUGUUACCAGGAUAUGUGG